UGGACAGAUUAAUGUAUUCGACUGUAUUCACGGCAUGAAACAGGGGAUUACACUGUUUUUAAACGGAAAGUGAAUCAAUUAACAUAAUAGACUCCU
rfam:Nicotiana attenuata strain TT scaffold03021, whole genome shotgun sequence.